AUUGAACGCUGGCGGAAUGCUUUACACAUGCAAGUCGAGGGGAAACGACAUCGAAAGCUUGCUUUUGAUGGGCGUCGACCGGCGCACGGGUGAGUAACGCGUAUCCAACCUGCCCACCACUUGGGGAUAACCUUGCGAAAGUAAGACUAAUACCCAAUGACGUCUCUAGAAGACAUCUGAAGGAGAUUAAAGAUUUAUAGGUGAUGGAUGGGGAUGCGUCUGAUUAGCUUGUUGGCGGGGUAACGGCCCACCAAGGCGACGAUCAGUAGGGGUUCUGAGAGGAAGGUCCACCACAUUGGAACUGAGACACGGGCCAAACUCCUACGGGAGGCAGCAGUGAGGAAUAUUGGUCAAUGGGCGAGAGCCUGAACCAGCCAAGUAGCGUGCAGGAUGACGGCCCUAUGGGUUGUAAACUGCUUUUAUAAGGGAAUAAAGUGAGUCUCGUGAGACUUUUUGCAUGUACCUUAUGAAUAAGGACCGGCUAAUUCCGUGCCAGCCGCCGCCGUAA
rnacentral:rRNA from 1 species